GGGCCUGUAGCUCAGUUGGUAGAGUACUUGGCUGGCAGUCAAGGCGUCGCAGGUUCGAUCCCUGUCAGGUCCA
rnacentral:tRNA from 1 species